rnacentral:RNase_P_RNA from 1 species
GGAAAGUCCGGGCUCCGCAGGGCAUGAUGCCGGGUAAUACCCGGGGCCGGUAAUUUUGCCGGAACAGAAAGCGCAACAGAAAGUAUACCGCCAGAGUUAGAAAACUUCGGUUUUUUGGCUCUGGUAAGGGUGAAAUGGCGGGGUAAGAGCCCACCUCGGCAGCGGCAACGCUGCUGGAAAAUGGCAAGCCUCAUCAGGAGCAAAGUCAAGUAUGCGUAGCCGGAAACUUAAGUUUUCAGGCGCCGGCGGCCCGCCGGUUUAACGCGGGUAGACUGCAUAGAGAAAACCGGCGACGGUUUUCCCAGACAGAUGGCGUUACGGAGACCUGCCUCAAUGCUGAGGGAUUUGCGUUGCAAACUCAAGGCGUGGCGCGGUUUGCGACAGAACCCGGCUUAUGAUACAU